rnacentral:rRNA from 1 species
UACGUAGGGGGCAAGCGUUGUCCGGAUUUAUUGGGCGUAAAGAGCGUGUAGGCGGCCUGAAAGGUCAGCUGUGAAAACUCGAGGCUCAACCUCGAGACGUCGGUUGAAACCAUCUGGCUAGAGUCCGGAAGAGGAGUGUGGAAUUCCCGGUGUAGCGGUGAAAUGCGCAGAUAUCAGGAGGAACACCAGUGGCGAAGGCGGCGACCUGGGCCAAUAUUGACGCUGAGGUGCGAAAGCGUGGGGAGCAAACAGG